AAUCAACGCUGGCGGCGUGCCUCAGACAUGCAAGUCGAACGAUUAAAGCUCUCUUCGGAGAGUGUAUAGAGUGGCGCACGGGUGAGUAACACGUAAGUAAUCUACCUUUGAGUGGGGAAUAACAGUCGGAAACGACUGCUAAUACCGCAUAAUGCAGCGGCAUCGCAAGAUGACAGUUGUUAAAGGAGCAAUCCGCUUAAAGAGGAGCUUGCGGCAGAUUAGCUAGUUGGUAAGGUAAUGGCUUACCAAGGCUACGAUCUGUAUCCGGUCUAAGAGGACGGUCGGACACACUGACACUGAAUAACGGGUCAGACUCCUACGGGAGGCAGCAGUCGGGAAUUUUGGGCAAUGGGCGAAAGCCUGACCCAGCAACGCCGCCGUGAAGGAUGAAGUAUUUCGGUAUGUAAACUUCGAAA
rnacentral:rRNA from 1 species